GGACGCAUAGCUCAGUUGGUUAGAGUGUCACAUUGACAUUGUGAAGGUCCCUGGUUCGAAUCCAGGUGCGUCCA
rnacentral:tRNA from 1 species